GACGAAGGGGGCUAGCGUUGUUCGGAAUUACUGGGCGUAAAGCGCGUGUAGGCGGUUGCCAAAGUCGGGUGUGAAAGCCUUGAGCUCAACUCAAGAAUUGCACUCGAUACUUGGUGACUAGAGGACCGGAGAGGAUAGUGGAAUUCCCAGUGUAGUGGUGAAAUACGUAGAGAUUGGGAAGAACACCAGUGGCGAAGGCGGCUAUCUGGACGGUUUCUGACGCUAAGACGCGAAAGCGUGGGAGCAAACAGG
rnacentral:rRNA from 1 species